rnacentral:rRNA from 1 species
GGCGAGUGGCGAACGGGUGAGUAAUAUAUCGGAACGUACCCUAGAGUGGGGGAUAACGUAGCGAAAGUUACGCUAAUACCGCAUACGAUCUAAGGAUGAAAGUGGGGGAUCGCAAGACCUCAUGCUCGUGGAGCGGCCGAUAUCUGAUUAGCUAGUUGGUAGGGUAAAAGCCUACCAAGGCAUCGAUCAGUAGCUGGUCUGAGAGGACGACCAGCCACACUGGAACUGAGACACGGUCCAGACUCCUACGGGAGGCAGCAGUGGGGAAUUUUGGACAAUGGGCGAAAGCCUGAUCCAGCAAUGCCGCGUGAGUGAAGAAGGCCUUCGGGUUGUAAAGCUCUUUUGUCAGGGAAGAAACGGUGAAAGCUAAUAUCUUUUGCUAAUGACGGUACCUGAAGAAUAAGCACCGGCUAACUACGUGCCAGCAGCCGCGGUAAUACGUAGGGUGCAAGCGUUAAUCGGAAUUACUGGGCGUAAAGCGUGCGCAGGCGGUUUUGUAAGUCUGAUGUGAAAUCCCCGGGCUCAACCUGGGAAUUGCAUUGGAGACUGCAAGGCUAGAAUCUGGCAGAGGGGGGUAGAAUUCCACGUGUAGCAGUGAAAUGCGUAGAUAUGUGGAGGAACACCGAUGGCGAAGGCAGCCCCCUGGGUCAAGAUUGACGCUCAUGCACGAAAGCGUGGGGAGCAAACAGGAUUAGAUACCCUGGUAGUCCACGCCCUAAACGAUGUCUACUAGUUGUCGGGUCUUAAUUGACUUGGUAACGCAGCUAACGCGUGAAGUAGACCGCCUGGGGAGUACGGUCGCAAGAUUAAAACUCAAAGGAAUUGACGGGGACCCGCACAAGCGGUGGAUGAUGUGGAUUAAUUCGAUGCAACGCGAAAAACCUUACCUACCCUUGACAUGGCUGGAAUCCCGGAGAGAUUUGGGAGUGCUCGAAAGAGAACCAGUACACAGGUGCUGCAUGGCUGUCGUCAGCUCGUGUCGUGAGAUGUUGGGUUAAGUCCCGCAACGAGCGCAACCCUUGUCAUUAGUUGCUACGAAAGGGCACUCUAAUGAGACUGCCGGUGACAAACCGGAGGAAGGUGGGGAUGACGUCAAGUCCUCAUGGCCCUUAUGGGUAGGGCUUCACACGUCAUACAAUGGUACAUACAGAGCGCCGCCAACCCGCGAGGGGGAGCUAAUCGCAGAAAGUGUAUCGUAGUCCGGAUUGUAGUCUGCAACUCGACUGCAUGAAGUUGGAAUCGCUAGUAAUCGCGGAUCAGCAUGUCGCGGUGAAUACGUUCCCGGGUCUUGUACACACCGCCCGUCACACCAUGGGAGCGGGUUUUACCAGAAGUAGGUAG